GACGAACGCUGGCGGCGUGCUUAACACAUGCAAGUCGAACGGAAAGGCCCUGCUUUUGUGGGGUGCUCGAGUGGCGAACGGGUGAGUAACACGUGAGUAACCUGCCCUUGACUUUGGGAUAACUUCAGGAAACUGGGGCUAAUACCGGAUAGGAGCUCCUGCUGCAUGGUGGGGGUUGGAAAGUUUCGGCGGUUGGGGAUGGACUCGCGGCUUAUCAGCUUGUUGGUGGGGUAGUGGCUUACCAAGGCUUUGACGGGUAGCCGGCCUGAGAGGGUGACCGGCCAAAUUGGGACUGAGAUACGGCCCAGACUCCUACGGGAGGCAGCAGUGGGGAAUAUUGGACAAUGGGCGGAAGCCUGAUGCAGCAACGCCGCGUGCGGGAUGACGGCCUUCGGGUUGUAAACCGCUUUCGCCUGUGACGAAGCGUGAGUGACGGUAAUGGGUAAAGAAGCACCGGCUAACUACGUG
rnacentral:rRNA from 1 species